CGCAAUGGGGGAAACCCUGACGGAGCGACGCCGCGUGGAGGAUGAAGUACUUCGGUAUGUAAACUCCUUUUGCCGGGGACGAAAUUAUUGACGGUACCCGGAGAAUAAGAAGUUGCUAAACUCGUGCCAGCAGCAGCGGUAAUACGAGUGCUUCGAGCGUUAUCCGGAAUUAUUGGGCGUAAAGGGUGUGUAGGCGAUUUCGUUAGUCUCGCGUAAAAUUCCUCGGCUCAACCGAGGGCGCGCGCGGGAAACGGCGAAACUUGAGGAUGGAAGGGGUCUUCGGAACUCAUGGUGUAGCGGUGAAAUGCGUUGAUAUCAUGGGGAACACCAAAAGCGAAGGCAGAAGACUGGUCCAUUUCCUGUCGCUGAAACACGAAAGCGU
rnacentral:rRNA from 1 species